GCCCCACGGAGCGCCGGGCGUCACGGGGAGGGUCGUGGCUUUAUUUCAUAAAAUAACAUACAGCAGCCGAGGGGAGCCGGGAACGCGGCGGGGCUGUGCUCCCCCCCGCCCCCUCCCGCGCCCCCGGGUGGGCGAUGCCGGGCGGUGCCGCGGGCGGCCCCGCGCUCCGGGCGAUAGGGGGCGCUGCGGCGGUCCGGGCGGUGGGGGUGCGCGGCGGUACUCCCGGUGCGGCCCCGUGAGUCGGUGCUGGGCUGCGGCCCCUGCCCGCCCGGCCCCCGCAGCCGGCCCCGGCUCGCUCAGGCCGGGAGCGCCCGGGCGGGCUGCGGUUCCCAAACUAGCUAGGGGCUCCUCGCAGCCCCCCCGGCCCGGGGUGGGGCGGCAGAGGGCGGCCCGAGAGCCCGCGGUGAGGAGAACAGAGCGGUGGAGGUGGGGAGGGGGCCGGGCGCUGCCCCACGCAGCGCGAAGCUGUGGCGAGCGGCCGCGGGCGCUCAGUUGGAAGCGAGCAGGGAGCUGUGGGAGGAGAGAUCCAUGCUGCUGGCGCUGAGGCCUCUGCUCUCUGCGCGGAGCCCCUGGGUACCCUCGAACGAAGCAUCGCUAGACUUGUGCAGGUAAUUUAGCGAGGCAGCUCGCUUCAUGCUGGUGUUCCUGGGCUCCAGGGGCCCGUUGCCCUGCAGCUUCUUGACCAACAUCUCGCUGCUCCGCCGGAUCACCUCCCGGAUUUUCCCCAGGGAGCUGCUGCGCUGGAGGGUACCGCUGCCGUCUUCCUCGCUACCGUCUGUGGCAUUCUCGUACUUGACGCUGCCACCCAGGCUCCGACGUCUCUCAGUGCCAUCACCCUCCUUCAGGAUCUCCACCACCUUCGUCUGGUUGAUUGGGUCAAUGCCCUGCCGCCGAGAGCGAACUGCACACUCCUCCAAGGUCUCCGCUGCCUCAAGCUUGCCCUGGCGCCGGUACAGCGCACCCAGGUUCCUCAGAGUGGUGUUCACAGUUGGGCUGCUAACCUUGCAGGCCUUGUACCAGCCACCAUACUCGGCAUAGGGAGCACUGUCUCUGUGCUUGCUCUUGCUCAUCUCCUCUCUCUCCUCUGCAUGCAUCCAGAUUGGCUUGUGUUCACCAUCCACAGAGCCAAACUCCUUCACAUGAGCACGGGUAAGGAUCUCUUUGUACAGCACCUCUGCAUCUUUGUAUUUGCCUUGCUUCAAGUAACAGGAGGCCAGGUUGUUCUUGGUCUUGGCUACGUUGGGAUCAUCAGGACCCAAGCAGCUCUCAUAGAUCUCCAGGGCCCUGCAGUAAUAGUACUCCACCUCCUCGUAUUUGCCUUGGUUCUGGCACAGCAGGGCCAGAUUGUUCAGUUGCUUGGCCACAUCAGGAUGGUCUUUGCCUAGGACCUUCUCACGGAUCUCCAGGGCUCGCUUACAGAGUGGCUCUGCUUCUUUGUACUUCCCUCUCUUGCCAUAGAGAACAGCCAGAUUGUUCAAAGUUGCAGCCACUGCUGGGUGGUCUUUACCCAGGGUCUUCUCACGGAUGGAAAGAGCAUCAUUCAAGAGAUGCGCUGCCUCCUUGUAUUUAUUCUGAUCCCUGUACACUAGUGCCAGGAUGUUGAGCAUGGUGGCCACAUCAGGGUGAUCAUGGCCUGAUGUCUUCUCCAGGUCCUCCAGUGCCUGCUUGCAGAGCGGCACAGCCACCUCGUAGCGUCCUUGUGAAGCAUACUGGAUGACAAGGUUGUGGAGGGUGCGCAAGCGUGCAGGAAUCUCAUAGCCUCCUUGCUGGGCAGCUGCUACUGCACUGCUAUGCUGGUGGGGCAAUCCAGGACCAUGUUCCUCCUCCUCGUUUGGAAACAGAUCAUCCAGGGAGUCCUUGGUGGAGUCACCUUCCUUCUCCUCCGAAGGAGAGACAUCCUCAUCAUACUUCUUCAGCUGGUUCAUGAACUCAAGGUGUUUCUUCUCCUCCUCCAGCUGAGCCACAGUUUGUUCACUGCGCUGCAGCUUCUGCUGGGUGUUGGCAAGCUCGUCACGCAGCCACUGGUUCUCCUGGCACAGUCUCCGUACCUGAGCACGCAACUUCUGCUUCUCUGACUCCACCGCAUUCAGAUGGUUGGACAGUGCCAUCAUCACCUGAGCUUCUCCAAGCCCCAGUUCAAUCAUCUCCACUGACUUGCGGAGCAGAUUGGAUUUCUCAUGCACCAGGUUGGCUUCUUCAUCCUUCUUCAGACACUUGAUGGUCUCCAGCAAGCUGUGCAGGAUGGAGUUGUGUUCAUUCUUGAGAGCCUCCAGCCCCUGCAUCACCAGCUUGGUGUUGGAAAUUAUCUCCUCUUGGCUCAGUUUGUCCAGUUUCUCCUCCCUUGGGUACACCAUGGUGGACAUAGUCCUGGUCCUGCAGCCCUGCUCGGCGCAGGGCGCUG
rnacentral:lncRNA from 1 species